rnacentral:tRNA from 1 species
AAAAAGUUAGUUAAAUAAAUAAUAUAAGAUUGUCAGUCUUAAGUUGCUAUAUAAAUAGUACUUUUUA